rnacentral:rRNA from 1 species
CCCAGGCGGAGUGCUUAAUGCGUUMGUGCAGCACUAAGGGGCGGAAACCCCCUAACACUUAGCACUCAUCGUUUACGGCGUGGACUACCAGGGUAUCUAAUCCUGUUCGCUCCCCACGCUUUCGCUCCUCAGCGUCAGUUACAGACCAGAGAGUCGCCUUCGCCACUGGUGUUCCUCCACAUCUCUACGCAUUUCACCGCUACACGUGGAAUUCCACUCUCCUCUUCUGCACUCAAGUUUCCCAGUUUCCAAUGACCCUCCCCGGUUGAGCCGGGGGCUUUCACAUCAGACUUAAGAAACCGCCUGCGAGCCCUUUACGCCCAAUAAUUCCGGACAACGCUUGCCACCUACGUAUUACCGCGGCUGCUGGCACGUAGUUAGCCGUGGCUUUCUGGUUAGGUACCGUCAAGGUGCAAGCAGUUACUCUUGCACUUGUUCUUCCCUAACAACAGAGCUUUACGRUCCGAAAACCUUCAUCACUCACGCGGCGUUGCUCCGUCAGACUUUCGUCCAUUGCGGAAGAUUCCCUACUGCUGCCUCCCGUAGAGGUCUGGGCCGUGUCUCAGUCCCAGUGUGGCCGAUCACCCUCUCAGGUCGGCUACGSAUCGUCGCCUUGGUGAGCCGUUACCUCACCAACUAGCUAAUGCGCCGCGGGUCCAUCUGUAAGUGACAGCCGAAACCGUCUUUCAUCCUUGAACCAUGCGGUUCAAGGAACUAUCCGGUAUUAGCUCCGGUUUCCCGGGGUUAUCCCAGUCUUACAGGCAGGUUACCCACG